CCCCAUCAAAAUGCAAAUAGCAGGACAUAUUUAAUCACAUAAAAGUUAUGCAAAAUAUCCCUAAAGUGAAACUUUUACACCUAUAUGGAAAAUGACAAUAUGUUCUACUUGAAAGAACAAAAAGGGGCCAAGAGACCUAAUUUGCCUUUGAUCUUCAACCCCCAACACAACCACAACAGCCAAAGCUUUGCAUUCUUUAUUACUUUCCCUACACAAAUUACUGACUUCUGAAUUACAGAUGCACGCUAUUACAGAGACUUACCUGAUUUUUCUUACUACUUUCAGAUCAGGUGCAGGCAAGUGCAUGGAUCUUAUCAUGCGCAGUUGCUUGCACACCUUCCUAUUUUUUCAGUUGCAGAUUUUGAUUUCCUUUGCAUGGGGCCCCGCAAAUCCAAGAUUCUCACUGCGCCCCCGCUUUUUCGUGUUCCCUUUCAACAAAACCCCAAACAGUUUGAAACCCACGCCGCUUCCACCCCCAUCUUCUCCGUCAUCGUUUUCACCAUUUUUUUCGUCAUCACUGUGAUCAUCAGCCCCAGCGGCCGCAUCUACCAAUCCAUCAAGGGUGGACUCACAACAGCUUCCUUGCCGCAUGAUGCGAUUGAUCUGAUCGGGCCCCACCUUCACAUACUCAGUCAAGAAAGCAAUCAACUCGUCGCAUUGUUUCUUAGCUUGCGCUAGCUCCGAGCUCAGCAUCUCGUUGUCCUUUUUCAGUUUCUUGUUUUCGCCCGAUAAGUCAGCAAAUUGCGUUGUCAUCGUCGCUGCAGUCUCCACUGAUCCAGGAUUCUUCGAAUCCGGAGAGGAUGUGGACGUGGACCCCAGAUCUUCGCCAGAGUUCGACGGCGAGGUUGCUAAUCCUCCUCCUCCUCCUCCGGACUUACAGGCGGCCAGAGUCUGUGUUGGAGAAGGAGUUACCGUUUUCCGGCGACGGAUUUCGGAGAGGAGCUCCUUGUGUCCUCGACGAAAAUGCUCGUUGGCGAAUUCCCAUUUGUCCGGCACAAUCUUCCGAAAGCCAUAGGUAUUCAGUUGGCGAACAAAGCUGGAGAAGUUGUUGUGCUUG
rnacentral:misc_RNA from 1 species